rnacentral:rRNA from 1 species
UUCCUCCUACGGGGGGCAGCAGUGAGGAAUAUUGGUCAAUGGGCUUACGCCUGAACCAGCCAAGUCGCGUGAGGGAAGACUGCCCUAUGGGUUGUAAACCUCUUUUGUCAGGGAGCAACGCCGGCUACGUGUAGCCGGACUGAGAGUACCUGAAGAAAAAGCAUCGGCUAACUCCGUGCCAGCAGCCGCGGUAAUACGGAGGAUGCGAGCGUUAUCCGGAUUUAUUGGGUUUAAAGGGUGCGUAGGCGGACGCUUAAGUCAGCGGUAAAAUUGCGGGGCUCAACCUCGUCGAGCCGUUGAAACUG